UCAUUAUCAAGGCAGAUUUUCAGAGAUUAAAAACUUGGAAAAAGUAGAAACGGUUGAGCUAAAAAGACCUAAAAUCCCUUGCAUUUUUAGUAGAAGUUGGCCUAGUUCUGCUGUCAUCUUCAGAGUUUAAAACUUCUUUAAGAAUUUUGGUCAUUCUGGGUUCAAAGCUGGUCCAAAAAGGCUGAGUAGUGCUGUUUGUUUGGUACAUUUUGGACCUUAUCAAUAUGUGAAGUUUGAGUUUGAAGCAUGUUGAAGUUGUAAACCUGAGUUUUAGUUGAAUGUCAAGCUGUCUUACUGAAGAUUCAUUCACAUUCCAUGUAAAAUUAUGCUUUUAAUACAUUACCUCUUGUAUUUAUUCAUACCAUUAACCUUGUUGAUAUGAAUUAGAUUUGUAUUUGGACUUCUGUUAUUAUGGUUUUAGCAUGUUUGAAUUCUUUCUGCCAAAGGUCGUUAGGUGGUUGAUACUGUCAUUAUAGGUUUAGUAUGGGAUAGACAGCACUACUUUGGGGUUUUGAAUGAGUUGUUGCAAUAUCAGUGAUAUUUAAUUUCA